rnacentral:misc_RNA from 1 species
UUUCCGUCGGUGAACCUGCGGAAGGAUCAUUAUUGUAUAACCGAGGUGCGAGGGCUGUCGCUGACCCGAAAGGUCGUGCACGCCCGAGUGCCCUCACACACAUCCAUCUCACCCCUAUGUGCACAACCGCGUGGGUCCCCCUUUGGCUUGUUCGGAGGGGGGCUUACGUUUUCACACAAACUUUGUAUGCAGUGUAGAAUGUAUUUUUUGUUUUUGCGAUCACGCAAUCAAUACAACUUUCAACAACGGAUCUCUUGGCUCUC